rnacentral:lncRNA from 1 species
AGGAUGGCAAAAUUUUAGCAUGUAAUCUCGUGACUAUUGUGGGAGGGACUGAAUCAUCUAAGGACUAAAGCACUGUAUCAAAGAAACACACCAUCAACAUAGUUCAAUUGCGUUUGGGUUUGGGGGCGGACUGGGGGUGAUGGUGGGUAUGUUGCACAAAUUGGAUGAUGAUCAAAGCGAGAAAAAAAUACAUAGCAGCAAGCACUGGAUACCCACACGUUUCAAACAUUCCUAAACCCUUAUACUGUGACCUCAUGCUUUAGUGUCCUAUUUUCACGAAUAUACAUUGUCAGCACGUCCUUAUAACAUAUACCCAUGGCAUCUAUCAGGUAUUCAGGUCCACAUCCAUGUAACAAGUACAAGAUAAUUGAAUGGAGGUAUAAAAACAAGAGGAAUGAAAUUUAACGAAGAACUUGAAGUAUUGAAUUUCUGAUUUGCAUUAAAGGAUGCUUAUUCCAGUCAGUAGUUACAAAAUGCAACUACCAUUUUCAACACAAAUAUGAGUAAUAUGAUAAACCUUAACGAUACAGAUAUGCAUAUGCAACUCUCUUUAUCCAGCUCCCUCUCCACAUACUAUGCACACAAACACACACAUACGUAUGUGUAUGUCUACGUAAACAGGAUGCAGAUGAAGCUAGAACAUCUAUAAUUUAACAAAGCAGCCUUGUCUUAUUUCAAUGAACUAGCAUACAUUCACACGUAUAUAUGACAACUCAACUAUAUACAUGAUAAAAACAAAAGCUUUAGGCAAAACAUAAAACUCAAACUUACAAAAUUUCAAAGUUCGUAAGUGAAGUGAACAACCAAAUGAAUCAACAAAGCUAAUUACAGUAACACUAAACUGAUGCUCACGGGUUAGCUCGGACAAUGCAUCUUCUACGAAUCCUACUUUGUCCAUCAAUGCAAAUUGGGUUCCACACGGAAACUCAUCUUCAGAAUCAUCACUGUUACUGAAGAAAUAAGCAGGUAAAUGUACUCAUUAUGUACAGAAUUCAAAAAUCUUCAUUACCUAAAUGUACUCAUAGUGUGCAAUUGAACACCAUGAGGUUUCAAAAAUCUUCAUUACCUAUAUGUGUAAUUGAACACCCUGCCUGAGCUUUCAAAAAUCUUCAUUACCUAUAUGUGUAAGAUGUCUCGUUUCUCAAUCGAAGAAGCUAAAUUAUACAAAUACGAGGCAAAACCCUAACCCCAAAGUGAAUCGGAGUGCAAAUAGUUCGAAUUGUAAGAGCUGUAAUCGGCGAUGGCUUUUCCUCCUGUGCGUAGCGGAGAGAUGAUUUUGGACCUAGGUGCGAAAGAUCCGAGUG